rnacentral:rRNA from 1 species
CCCUUUAAUUGUGGGCUUGUAUGAAAGGAUAAACGAAAGCUUCCCUGUCUCCUAGUAAAAAAUUAAAAUUGUCCUUUAGGUGAAGAGACCUAAAUUAAAUCAAAGGACAAGAAGACCCCGUAGAGCUUUAUAUUAAUACUAUUUUUAAAAAUUAAUAAUAUAUAACAUCUUUAAUCAUACUAUAAUAUUUAGCUGGGGCGGCUAAGGAAAAAAAAUCUUCCAUUUCUAUAAAUAUGGUCUAAACCUAAAACUCAAUUGAUCCUUAUAAGAACAGAAAAUACAGCUACCUCGGGGAUAACAGAUUAAUUCUUCUUGAGAGUUCACAUUGACAGAAGAGUUUGACACCUCGAUGUUGGCUUAGGGUACCCAGUAGAUCAGCAACAGUCUACAUUUGGUAG